AGCAGUAGCCGCGGUAAUACGUAGGUGGCAAGCGUUGUCCGGAAUUAUUGGGCGUAAAGCGCGCGCAGGUGGUUUAAUAAGUCUGAUGUGAAAGCCCACGGCUCAACUGUGGAGGGUCAUUGGAAACUGUUAAACUUGAGUGCAGGAGAGAAAAGUGGAAUUCCUAGUGUAGCGGUGAAAUGCGUAGAGAUUAGGAGGAACACCAGUGGCGAAGGCGGCUUUUUGGCCUGCAACUGACACUGAGGCGCGAAAGCGUGGGGAGCAAACAGGAUUAGAUACCCCUGUAGUCCCUGUCUCUUAUAC
rnacentral:rRNA from 1 species